rnacentral:tRNA from 1 species
GGGCGAUUAGCUCAGCGGUAGAGCACCUCGUUUACACCGAGGGGGUCGGAGGUUCGAAACCUUCAUCGCCCACCA